AGAUGAGGUUACAAUGCAGCUAAACAAAGCAGAGGAAAUAGAUCCCUCCUGUGUACAGUGAGAUGGAAGCAAGCAAGAAGCUCUUUGACAUCAUCCAGACUGAGCAUUGGAUUACAACAAACAAGACUUACUGACAAAGGAGUAAGGAAACGCCUCCUAAACUCUAGAAAGGGCAGCUUCGUCAAUCUGCGUGUAGAAACAGAAGCAGCAAGUCUAAAGCAAGAAUACAUCUAGGAACUCUGGCUAUUUGCCAUCAUAUGCACACAUGUGGGACUGAACUGUGUCUGAUCCUUGAAUUUUAAGAGACUAACUUGUUGGCCUGAGAGCUGCUGAAGCCAUUUCUGGAUUCUGCCACAUACAAUGUUGGUGAGAUGAUGGAGACUGAGCCUGCCUAUGCUGACUUCAUCACCUGUGAUCGGACUGGUCGGAGAAAUGCUGUUCAUGUUCUUCCAGGGGAUGCAGUUGCCAUUAAGUUGGAGAACCAGCAAACACCAUGGAUAUUUCUGUUGCAGAUGAAGAAAAUCAACCAAAGGAAGCUGCUAAUGAAAAAAACCCUGGGCUGAUUCCUGAAAGGAAGAAUGAUAAUUCAACCUUCUAAUUUAGGAUGCAGAAGGUGGAAGACUAGAUAACAACACUUGAUAAUUACUCUAUAUGCUAAGAAAUCAGACUGCAACAGGAAAAUCUUUACUUACCAUUUGGAUGUCAUAGUCACUUUGUGCAGCAAUUAAUUGGUAUCGCCGAAGUUAUUUCUUUCUUUAAAGCUACAAAUAAGAUCUGUUCUGGUAACCUGACCCAGUUAGAGAGCGUUAAGCAGCUAUUUUCUGUACAGUUAAACAACAUUUCCAUAAUAUGUAUUUCAGAUUUUAUUGUAAAAGGUGCAUUUUGUUCACUUAGUAAAUUUAAACUAUUUAUUUCUAUCUCCUGUAAAUUAUUAGAUGGUUAUUGUGUUCCUCACGAUACAUAUAUAAAAUCCCACACCCGGUUGAUCUUUUAAGCUAUGAACAUGGGAAUUAUAGGAUAUAAUAUACCAGACAUUUCACCAGCAUGAAUCUCAUUAAAUAAUUGAGCUUGAUAUUGGCAACAGUGCUUGUAUAUAGCUCUAGUUCAGUUCACCUUAUUCUGUUUUAAACAAAUACUAUAGAAAUUCCUGCUAUAGAUGUCACCAAGUGAUUCAGUAUUUCUGAACAGGUACACUUAACAUUUGGUUUGCUUAGCUUUUUUUUUAAAGAAAAGGUGAUGCAGGCUAAGGCAUAAUAUUUGUUGUAUACAAUUCAGAUAACUCUGAUAUAUUUGCAUUAUCUGUUAAUAGCAAUUUCCUUUUAGGUAAAAGUAUUGAGCCAAGGUUGACUUCUGGUGACUACAUAGAUGCAUCCUUGCUGGUAUCCUUAUAAUAAUCCUUACAUUUUCCAUUGCCUUCUUCAACAGUUCCAGUAAAUAUUAUGCAAUUCUAUAAAUUUGUUUUUCAGCAAAUAAAACUGAGUAUUAUACGUUUUGCUGUUUCCUACAUUUACCUCUAUAGGCUUGCAAUUUCCUUUUCUGGUUUUAUAAUCUGACAUUAAAAAUCAAUAGAACAAAGAUUUUCAAAAUAUUCUGUGAUGCUAAGAUUGGUAUAGCAAUCUGCAGAAACAAAUACAGAAAUGUCGAAUAUGUACUAUAGAAAUAUAUAAAACCAAAGUAUUAAUCCUGUCUAUCCACAGAAUAUGCCAGAGUUUUCAAAUAACAUCAGAAUGCAGGUCUGUAUGAAGAUUAGGAAACAUAUAUUUAAUUGCGUAUACUACAAUAUGAAUUUAGCAGUAUGAAUAUUGACAACUUAAACACAAAAAUUAUCUGAAACUGGCAUAAUGUACUCCCAGGGAUGGGUGCAAAAAAAUUCAAUCCUCAACAUUUUUACCUUUGUGACUUCAAUAAAAAGAUGGAAGCAAAAGCUCAUAAUGUAAUAACAUAUAUAACCUAUAAUACAAAUUGGCAAGAAAGCUAAUGUCCUAGAAGUCAGAAAUAAAAUUCAAAGUCAACUUGUUAGGUAGAGAAAUGCACUGGAAAUAGUAUAAUUUAGUGAGAUAAAGGAAAAUUUGUAUUCAGAAAAUGCAGACCAAAUGCAGAGAUUCAGGAGCACAAUACUUGUCUGGGUAAUAUUACAUAUGAAAACUUUAGAUUACUAUUUGAAUACAAAUAGUAUGAGCCAGAAGUCUGAUGUAGCUGCAAGAAAUGCUAUUAUUUUAGGCUGUAUCCACAUAAUCAAAAUUUUUCAUUGAGGAGAAUACCACCUGAUUCCAAAUGCAUUUCUGUAAAUUUAGACAUUGUAGGAAGAUGACCAAGUUCAACUGAGGUAGCAAACAAUCAGAGUCUGAUAGCAUCUUCUCCAACUUACAAUUUUUAUUAUGUACUUUAUGUAUCUAAUAAAGUGAGCCAUGCUCAUAAAUGCUUAAGUCUUGUUAGAAAAGAUGCUAUACUGUAUAUUGCUAUGUCACAGAACAAUACUAAAAUUUUAGGCCCCUUCUAGCUUAAUGAAAGUUUUUUUUUGCUUCUUGUUUUACUAAAACAAUGAAACAUCUUAUUUUGUAGUGAAACGUAAACAAAGACUCAGACUCUACUUUUCAUUUAAUGUUUUUUAAAUUAUUUUAUUUGUAGAUUUUGGCUUGACUGUUUUUUUCUCAUAUGCCAGACAAAAAUGAAACAUACCUUUAAGUAAAAAUGGACUUUAUUUCAUUAAAUGAAGACUUAAGUUCUGCUCUUUCCUCAAAAUGAAUUCUGAAGAUAUAUUGUGUUACACAGCAAGAAUAUGGAUCACAAUAUUAAAACCAUUUACAAGCAGGAUAAUUUUUUACUGGUACUAAAAAAAUAUUAAACAAUUCUUUAUAUAAUCCUGAAUAUAGACGAUAUGCUUGUUGACAUUAAGAACUUUUUAUUUAACAUUCAUAUAAACCAGUAUUUACUGGCUUGCUGUUUUCUGAAAUACUUAGUAUGCAUAGCUAAGCCUACACCUCUGCACACAUGACACUAAUGUAAAAACUAUUCUUCAGACAAACUUUUGAUUUUAGUCACCAACAACAUGGUAUCACAAACAUGUAGGAGUUCCUUAGUAUUGAUUACGAACUUUUAAAAAAAAAUCAUUACCAAAUCAAAUCAAACCAGAACCAUUUCUAUACACAAAAUAAGUAAUAACAGUGUGAGUUUGUGUUUAGA